rnacentral:rRNA from 1 species
GACGAACGCUGGCGGCGUGCCUAAUACAUGCAAGUAGGACGCAGUUGCGAACGGGUGAGUAACGCGUAGGUAACUACCUAUUAGAGGGGGCUAACUAUUGGAAACGAUAGCUAAUACCGCAUACUAGUAGAUGGACCUGCGUUGUAUUAGCUAGUAGGUAGGGUAAUGGCCUACCUAGGCAACGAUACAUAGCCGACCGUGGGGGGUGGUCGGGCACACUGGGACUGGAACACGGCCCAGACUCCUAAGGUAGGCAGCAGUAGGGAAACUUCGGCAAUGGGGGGAACCCUGACCGAGCAACGCCGCGGGAGUGGAGAAGGUUUUCGGAUCGUAAAGCUCUGUUGUUAAGGAAGCGGUACUUAACCAGAAAGGGACGGCUAACUACGUGCCAGCAGCCGCGGUAAUUC